rnacentral:rRNA from 1 species
ACGGAAGGCAGCAGUGAGGAAUAUUGGUCAAUGGGCGGAAGCCCGAACCAGCCAAGUCGCGUGAAGGAUGAAGGUAUUAUGUAUUGUAAACUUCUUUAGUCGUAGAGAAAUAAGGUGCUCGUGAGCACUGAUGCUAGUAUACGAAGAAUAAGGAUCGGCUAACUCCGUGCCAGCAGCCGCGGUAAUACGGAGGAUCCGAGCGUUAUCCGGAUUUAUUGGGUUUAAAGGGUGCGCAGGCGGCUUUUUAAGUCAGUGGUCAAAUCGUGGGGCUCAACCCCAUCCCGCCAUUGAUACUGGAGAGCUUGAUUGCGGUCGAGGUUGGCGGAAUUCGUCGUGUAGCGGUGAAAUGCAUAGAUAUGACGAAGAACACCGAUUGCGUAGGCAGCUGACCAGGCCGUAAAUGACGCUCAUGCACGAAAGUGCGGGGAUCGAACAGGAUUAGAUACCCUGGUA